UUGACCGGAACCUUUGACAGACUUCUGUUUCCUGUUCCCCCGGAAAGACUCUUGCAAUUGUUCAUUUACUGAGAGGAAGAAGUUGAUGGCCAGGACUUUCUUUUAUUCUUUCAUAUUUGUAAAGAUUAUUUCCACCAUGAUCCUAUUAACAACAGGAUGGAUUCAUGAAGAAACUGUUCUCUAUUAAAAUAAAAAAGGCUCUGGUCUUGGAACAUUAAGGUUGCUGAGGCGGAGUUGAUUUGGUGAGGGCCACCUGUACCCAGCCACUGCCUGGCCUAUAGAGAACCCACAACAGCUGGUUACCAGAGGUCAGAACCACAGCUCAAGACCCCCAUGGCUGGUGACAUAUGUGAGCAGAGCAGGGGGUGGGGCACUGGAAGCCUGCUGGUCAUGCCACUGAGCUCAGCAGUGUCUCCCAGCAAGAGGGUGCCAAAACGUGGACAUUUUUCAAGCUGAGGACUGAUUAGUCCAGGGAUGGGACUCGGCUGGAGGACGGACAUUGCAGCGCUUCCCCAGAGAAUAAAUUUGCACCUGCCCCAUCCGGAACAAUGGCCCUCUGCCUUCGCACUGUGCACUGUGGUUAAUUAAAAAACAUGGCUAAUUUGCACACUCUACUUUGCUUCAAAAUUGGAAUCUAGUUCACCACUGAGUCUGUUAAUUUACCCAGGAAACUACCGACUGCUGCCGACUGAGAGGGGAUGGAGCUGUGAUGGGUUUGACAGCAGACUGGACAAAGAGAGGACACUGUGAAAACAUCCACGUCUCGCUCACUCUCUCUAUCUGCUUGAUGCUGUGUUCAGCUAACUUUAAAUCAACAUACCAGAGGAAUAAGCCUAACUGGGAUAAUCUCCAUAAAGUGAAAUCACAGAGGGGUGAAUUGGGGAAUGGGAGUCCUGACAAGGCUUUUCUGACAAGUGACCGGAUUGAUGAUCCCAUGACAAAAUGAAUAUUGCUGGAAAGGCAGAUGAAUUAUGACAGUUUUCAUAUUAAGCAGACUUAUCUGUAGCAAAGAGUAUUAAGAGCGCCAAGUACAUCGACCGAUACUAUCACAAAUUGACCUGCCAAUCACCUAGCCCUGGCUUCAACGGUGCAGAUAAGGUAUUUAAGGUCAUUGACAGCAGAUCCCCCUGUCUGUUGGUCUUCCUCUUUACUAUUAUCAGAGCCAUGUUUUGCUCCUAAAGAGAAAGCGCCUUGGUCUCUAUCGCAACAUGAAAAAGAUCUUGGAUAAUUCACCCAGGCUCAAAAAUGGAGGCUAUUUCACAGCUAGGGUUUUACACGCUAACCGCAAGAGCCCUUUAAUACUUCCUCCAUGUCAGAGAAGACUUUGUAGCAGUGGGGUUGCAGGGGGAACUUCCCAAGGCUUAUGAGGUAAUCUCAUUGAUAUUUAUUCAUCUAAUGAUGACUAAGAAUGUAAACUGAUAGCUACAUUCAUUCCAAGAUGACCCCAAUAAGUCUUUCAUAUUUAAAGUAAUGAACUGUGCAUAAAAGCAGUUCCAAAUCUUCAAGUCAGGCAUAGAAGAAGGUGUAAAGCAGAGAAAUCCCAGCAAGGUAUUAAAGUUAGCAAAUGGUAGAUAAUACCACAAGAU